rnacentral:rRNA from 1 species
GACGAACGCUGGCGGCGUGCUUAACACAUGCAAGUCGAACGGAAAGGCCCUGCUUUUGUGGGGUGCUCGAGUGGCGAACGGGUGAGUAACACGUGAGUAACCUGCCCUUGACUUUGGGAUAACUUCAGGAAACUGGGGCUAAUACCGGAUAGGAGCUCCUGCUCCAUGGUGGGGGUUGGAAAGUUUCGGCGGUUGGGGUUGGACUCGCGGCUUAUCAGCUUGUUGGGGGGGUAGUGGCUUACCAAGGCUUUGACGGGUAGCCGGCCUGGGCGGGUGAACGGCCACAAUGGGACUGAGGUACGGCCCAGACGCCUACGGGGGGCAACAGUGGGGAAUCUUGCACAAUGGGCGGAAGCCUGAUGCAGCAACGCCGCGUGCGGGAUGCCGGCCUUCGGGUUGUAAACCGCUUUCGCCUGUGACGAAGCGUGAGUGACGGUAAUGGGUAAAGAAGCACCGGCUAACUACGUG